rnacentral:rRNA from 1 species
ACAAUGUUUCCGUAGGUGAACCUGCGGAAGGAUCAUUAAAGUUAAUUGGAGGGGGGUUUGGAUGCUGGCCCGUGAGGGCACGUGCGCGCCUCCCUAUAAUAAUCCUUUACACACCUGUGCACCUGUGGGCGAACGCCUCUCGGGGCGUUUUCCCUUACACACACACACACGCACAAUGUAUGUAAUUGGGAGCAUAUGAUAUGGUUGACAACUUUCAACAACGGAUCUCUUGGCUUUCGCAUCGAUGAAGAACGCCGCGAAAGUGCGAAACGUAAUGUGAAUUGCAGAAUUCAGUGAAUCAUCGAAUCUUUGAACGCAUCUUGCGCUCCUUGGUAUUCCGAGGAGCAUGCCUGUUUGAGUGUCGUGAGCGUAACCCUCGACCCCCCUCGGGGGUCGGAUUUGGACGUCUGCGGCGGGGUAACUAACUCUCGCCGCUCGUCUUGAAAUGCAUUAGCCUCGGAAUCGGUCCGACGACGGCGUGAUAAGGAGAGAUAAUUGCAAACUCUGCGCCGUUUGAAGUCGGAACCGUGAGAUCGCUUACAGCCGUCUUUCAUUAGACUUUUCAUGUCGUUGUGACCUCAAAUCAGGUAGGAUUACCCGCCGAACUUAAGCAUAUCAAUAAGCGGAGGAAAAGAAACUAACGAGGAUUCCCCUAGUAACGGCGAGUGAAGCGGGAAGAGCUCAAA